rnacentral:rRNA from 1 species
GACGAAGGAUGCAAGCGUUAUCCGGAUUCAUUGGGUUUAAAGGGAGCGUAGGCGGUCCCAUAAGUCAGUGGUGAAAUCUCUCGGCUUAACCGAGAAAUUGCCAUUGAUACUGUGGGACUUGAGUACAGUUGCCGUUGGCGGAAUAUGACAUGUAGUGGUGAAAUACAUAGAGAUGUCAUAGAACACCGAUUGCGAAGGCAGCUAACGAAACUGUAACUGACGCUGAGGCUCGAAAGUGCGGGGAUCAAACAGG